rnacentral:rRNA from 1 species
AUUGAACGCUGGCGGCAGGCCUAACACAUGCAAGUCGAGCGGAAGAAGGGAGCUUGCUCCCGGAUUUAGCGGCGGACGGGUGAGUAACACCUGGGAAUCUGCCUGAUAGUGGGGGAUAACGUCCGGAAACGGGCGCUAAUACCGCGUACGUCCUACGGGAGAAAGCAGGGGAUCUUCGGACCUUGCGCUAUCAGAUGAGCCCAGGUCGGAUUAGCUUGUUGGUGAGGUAAUGGCUCACCAAGGCGACGAUCCGUAACUGGUCUGAGAGGAUGAUCAGUCACACUGGAACUGAGACACGGUCCAGACUCCUACGGGAGGCAGCAGUGGGGAAUAUUGGACAAUGGGGGCAACCCUGAUCCAGCCAUGCCGCGUGUGUGAAGAAGGUCUUCGGAUUGUAAAGCACUUUAAGUUGGGAGGAAGGGCUUUAGGCUAAUACCCUGAAGUUUUGACGUUACCGACAGAAUAAGCACCGGCUAACUCUGUGCCAGCAGCCGCGGUAC